CCUGCAGGCUCAUGGGCUUGGUCUCGCAGGGUGGCAGCUUCUGAGGAAUGGGAGUGGUUGGGGCAGCAAUAAGGGUGGGACAGAAUUUAUUUUUGAGGGAGGGUGGAAGGUGGGCAGGAGACUGGGAUCCUCUUUCCCACAGGUGAGCUGGUAGGUCACAGAGCCUCUCUGAGUUCCAGUUAGAAGCCCUCUUGCCCCCUGCCAGGAUUUAUGGACCGACCAGUCAACGCCCAUGUUCAGCAGGGAAGCAAUUACAGAAGCCAGACCUUCUACCUUCUGCAACCCUCAAUGACCCUGGGUCCAUGCUCCCAGAGGGAUAGAGAAUGGGAAAGCUAUCAGGGGAGGGGGUGGGUUAUGGAGAUUGGGUGGUGGGAAUUGUGUGGAGUUGUACCCCUCCUA